rnacentral:rRNA from 1 species
GACGAACGCUGGCGGCGUGCCUAAUACAUGCAAGUAGAACGCUGAAGGAGGAGCUUGCUCUUCUGGAUGAGUUGCGAACGGGUGAGUAACGCGUAGGUAACCUGCCUGGUAGCGGGGGAUAACUAUUGGAAACGAUAGCUAAUACCGCAUAAGAGUAGAUGUUGCAUGACAUUUGCUUAAAAGUUGCAAUUGCAUCACUACAAGAUGGACCUGCGUUGUAUUAGCUAGUUGGGGGGGUAACGGCUCACCAAGGCGACGAUACAUAGCCGACCUGAGAGGGGGAUCCGCCACACUGGGACUGAGACACGGCCCAGACUCCUACGGGAGGCAGCAGUAGGGAAACUUCGGCCAUGGACGGAAGUCUGACCGAGCAACGCCGCGGGAGUGAAGAAGGUUUUCGGAUCGUAAAGCUCUGUUGUAAGAGAAGAACGAGUGUGAGAGUGGAAAGUUCACACUGUGACGGUAUCUUACCAGAAAGGGACGGCUAACUACGUG